rnacentral:misc_RNA from 1 species
AAGUCGUAACAAGGUUUCCGUAGGUGAACCUGCGGAAGGAUCAUUAACGAAUAACUAUGGUGUCUUGGUUGUAGCUGGCUCCUCGGAGCAUUGUGCACGCCCGCCAUUUUUAUCUUUCCACCUGUGCACCGACUGUAGGUCUGGAUAACUCUCGCCCUUGGGCGGAUGCGAGGAUUGCUCUGUUAAAAAGGGGCUCUCCUCGAAUUUCCAGGCUCUACGUCUUUUUACAAACCCCAAACGUAUGAUAAAGAAUGUAGUCAAUGGGCUUUCAUAGCCUAUAAAACAAAUAUACAACUUUCAGCAACGGAUCUCUUGGCUCUC